GUGAAUCAUCAAAUCUUUGAACGCAAAUUGCACUCUCUGGUAUUCCGGAGAGUAUGCCUGUUUGAGGGUCAGUUUAAUUAAAAAUCGGUGUGGUUGGCGGCUUUCGUGGUGAAGCAACGGAUUUUGGUCGUCUUUCCUUUGGGUUAGUGACCUUAAAUUUUGCCUGAUUUUUUUCGAACGUAUUAAAGUGUUAUUA
rnacentral:misc_RNA from 1 species